rnacentral:rRNA from 1 species
UGGGGAUUAUUGCACAAUGGGCGCAAGCCUGAUGCAGCCAUGCCGCGUGUAUGAAGAAGGCCUUCGGGUUGUAAAGUACUUUCAGUCGGGAGGAAGGUGGUAAGGUUAAUAACCUUAUCAAUUGACGUUACCGACAGAAGAAGCACCGGCUAACUCCGUGCCAGCAGCCGCGGUAAUACGGAGGGUGCAAGCGUUAAUCGGAAUUACUGGGCGUAAAGCGCACGCAGGCGGUUGAUUGAGUCAGAUGUGAAAUCCCCGGGCUUAACCCGGGAAUUGCAUCUGAUACUGGUUAGCUAGAGUCUUGUAGAGGGGGGUAGAAUUCCAUGUGUAGCGGUGAAAUGCGUAGAGAUGUAGAGGAAUACCGGUGGCGAAGGCGGCCCCCUGGACAAAGACUGACGCUCAGGUGCGAAAGCGUGGGGAGCAAACAGG